rnacentral:rRNA from 1 species
UCCGUAGGUGACCUGCGGAGGGAUCAUUAA